UCUUGGGGCCUGUGUAGGUCUGCUGGGAACAGGACUUCUAAAAGGCAAAUAUGUCUGGAAGCAACACAGUGACUCCUGGCGGCAAACCAAACAAAACCAGGGUAAUCUGGGGAAAGAUAACUCGAGCCCAUGGAAACAGUGGUAUGGUUCGUGCCAAAUUCCGAAGCAACCUUCCUGCUAAGGCCAUUGGACAUAGAAUCCGUGUAAUGCUGUACCCCUCAAGGAUUUAAACUGAUGAAAAGUAAAUAAAAGUGGAUUUAUGCUGUUGUAUUUUUAUUAA